UACGGGGGGGGGCAAGCGUUUGUUCGGAAUUACUGGGCGUAAAGGGCUCGUAGGUGGCCAACUAAGUCGGACGUGAAAUCCCUCGGCUUAACCGGGGAACUGCGUCCGAUACUGGUUGGCUUGAGUUUGGGAGAGGGAUGCGGAAUUCCAGGUGUAGCGGUGAAAUGCGUAGAUAUCUGGAGGAACACCAGUAGCGAAGGCGGCUCGCUGGGCCAUUCCUGACGCUGAGACGCGAAAGCUAGGGGAGCGAACAGGG
rnacentral:rRNA from 1 species